UGGCUGACUUACCGUCGUUUA
rnacentral:siRNA from 1 species